rnacentral:piRNA from 1 species
UUGGAAAGUUCGAGAUGAAAU